rnacentral:rRNA from 1 species
UACGUAGGGUGCGAGCGUUAAUCGGAAUUACUGGGCGUAAAGCGUGCGCAGGUGGUUUUGUAAGCCAGAUGUGAAAUCCCCGGGCUCAACCUGGGAAUGGCAUUUGGGACUGCAAGGCUAGAGUGUGGCAGAGGGGGGUGGAAUUCCGCGUGUAGCAGUGAAAUGCGUAGAUAUGUGGAGGAAUACCGAUGGCGAAGGCAGCCCCCUGGGAUAACACUGACGCUCAUGCACGAAAGCGUGGGGAGCAAACAGG